rnacentral:rRNA from 1 species
UACGAAGGGUGCAAGCGUUACUCGGAAUCACUGGGCGUAAAGCGUGCGUAGGCGGUUUCUUAAGUCUGUCGUGAAAGCCCUGGGCUCAACCUGGGAACGGUGAUGGAUACUGGGAAGCUAGAAUGUGAGAGAGGAUGGUGGAAUUCCCGGUGUAGCGGUGAAAUGCGUAGAGAUCGGGAGGAACACCAGUGGCGAAGGCGGCCAUCUGGCUCAACAUUGACGCUGAGGCACGAAAGCGUGGGGAGCAAACAGG